GUUUGCUUCAUCAGCAAAUAUACUAAAAAAUUAGAAUGAUACAGAGAAGAUUAGUAUGACCCCUGGGCAAGGAUGACAUACAAAUUUGAGAAGCAUUUCAUAUUUUU